AACGAACGCUGGCGGCAUGCCUAACACAUGCAAGUCGAACGUGAUCCGGAGCUUGCUCCGAUGAAAGUGGCGCACGGGUGAGUAACGCGUGGGAACCUGCCCAGAGGUAGGGAAUAACCGCGGGAAACUGCGGCUAAUACCCUAUAUUCCCUUCGGGGGAAAGAUUUAUCGCCUUUGGAUGGGCCCGCGUCGGAUUAGCUAGUUGGUGAGGUAACGGCUCACCAAGGCGACGAUCCGCAGCUGGUCUGAGAGGAUGAUCAGCCACACUGGGACUGAGACACGGCCCAGACUCCUACGGGAGGCAGCAGUGGGGAAUAUUGGACAAUGGGCGCAAGCCUGAUCCAGCAAUGCCGCGUGAGUGAUGAAGGCCUUAGGGUUGUAAAGCUCUUUCGGCGGGGAAGAUGAUGACGGUACCCGCAGAAGAAGCCCCGGCUAACUUCGUGCCAGCAGCCGCGGUAAUACGAAGGGGGCUAGCGUUGUUCGGAAUUACUGGGCGUAAAGGGCGG
rnacentral:rRNA from 1 species